UGAAACGCAAGCACAAACACAAUGGUUUUAUUGUAGGAGGCUUCUGCAGCAAAGAAGAAAGAAAACAACUCAGUUAGCAAAAGAGGGGAAGGAAGGUAAAAGCCUACCAAAGGCAAGCUGCCUAAGGAAAGAGUGUUUUCUUUGUAUGCAUUAACAUAUGCUCAAAGAUCAUUUCCCUAGGAGGUGUCUGUCACUGCCCACUCUGCUUCCUGUUUAUGGUUUGCUGCAGGAGAAGCUUUUAAAUCCAUUUGCCGAACCCCUGGGAAUUGCAAGGGGGAAGAAGGUGUUGCCCCUGAAGAAGAUGCACAGCUUCAAAGUCAAGGGAACCAACAGAGUCCAGAGGAGGGAGUUGGAUACCUUGGAACGCUAGUUAUUGGCAGUUGUGAGUCUGUAGGCGGUAAGAACCAACCCCAGGCUACUGUGGAAGGGUGGCAAGUGCUCUUCAUUACAAAGCUGUCUUCUCCAGACUGACAUCAUGCCAUUGGACCCCACAAUCAGCUCAAAUCAUUGAGGACAACCAACCCAAAUGUGGAGAAAAAACCAAACAAACCAGGAUUCUAAACAAUGCUAUCUGAAGGAAACAGAAAAGUAGCCUACAGCUUGCAGCUCAUUUCAAGGCCUGGGUGGACUGUUUCUGCUGCCAAGUUCUUCCCACUAUUGAAGUGACUGCUUAUCC